rnacentral:rRNA from 1 species
AUUGAACGCUGGCGGCAUGCUUUACACAUGCAAGUCGAGCGGCAGCGCGGGGGCAACCCUGGCGGCGAGCGGCGAACGGGUGAGGAAUACAUCGGAACGUGCCCGAGAGUGGGGGAUAACGCCGCGAAAGCGGCGCUAAUACCGCAUAUUCUCUGAGGAGGAAAGUGGGGGACCGCAAGGCCUCACGCUCACGGAGCGGCCGAUGUCGGAUUAGCUAGUUGGUGGGGUAAAGGCUUACCAAGGCGACGAUCCGUAGCUGGUCUGAGAGGAUGAUCAGCCACACUGGGACUGAGACACGGCCCAGACUCCUACGGGAGGCAGCAGUGGGGAAUUUUGGACAAUGGGGCAACCCUGAUCCAGCCAUGCCGCGUGCGGGAA